UUCGACACACUAUCAUUAACUGAAUCCAUAGGUUAAUGAGGCGAACCGGGGGAACUGAAACAUCUAAGUACCCCGAGGAAAAGAAAUCAACCGAGAUUCCCCCAGUAGCGGCGAGCGAACGGGGAGGAGCCCAGAGCCUGAAUCAGUGUGUGUGUUAGUGGAAGCGUCUGGAAAGGCGCGCGAUACAGGGUGACAGCCCCGUACACAAAAAUGCACAUACUGUGAGCUCGAUGAGUAGGGCGGGACACGUGGUAUCCUGUCUGAAUAUGGGGGGACCAUCCUCCAAGGCUAAAUACUCCUGACUGACCGAUAGUGAACCAGUACCGUGAGGGAAAGGCGAAAAGAACCCCGGCGAGGGGAGUGAAAAAGAACCUGAAACCGUGUACGUACAAGCAGUGGGAGCCUCUUAAUGGGGUGACUGCGUACCUUUUGUAUAAUGGGUCAGCGACUUAUAUUCUGUAGCAAGGUUAACCGAAUAGGGGAGCCGAAGGGAAACCGAGUCUUAACUGGGCGUUAAGUUGCAGGGUAUAGACCCGAAACCCGGUGAUCUAGCCAUGGGCAGGUUGAAGGUUGGGUAACACUAACUGGAGGACCGAACCGACUAAUGUUGAAAAAUUAGCGGAUGACUUGUGGCUGGGGGUGAAAGGCCAAUCAAACCGGGAGAUAGCUGGUUCUCCCCGAAAGCUAUUUAGGUAGCGCCUCGUGAAUUCAUCUCCGGGGGUAGAGCACUGUUUCGGCAAGGGGGUCAUCCCGACUUACCAACCCGAUGCAAACUGCGAAUACCGGAGAAUGUUAUCACGGGAGACACACGGCGGGUGCUAACGUCCGUCGUGAAGAGGGAAACAACCCAGACCGCCAGCUAAGGUCCCAAAGUCAUGGUUAAGUGGGAAACGAUGUGGGAAGGCCCAGACAGCCAGGAUGUUGGCUUAGAAGCAGCCAUCAUUUAAAGAAAGCGUAAUAGCUCACUGGUCGAGUCGGCCUGCGCGGAAGAUGUAACGGGGCUAAACCAUGCACCGAAGCUGCGGCAGCGACACUAUGUGUUGUUGGGUAGGGGAGCGUUCUGUAAGCCUGUGAAGGUGUACUGUGAGGUAUGCUGGAGGUAUCAGAAGUGCGAAUGCUGACAUAAGUAACGAUAAAGCGGGUGAAAAGCCCGCUCGCCGGAAGACCAAGGGUUCCUGUCCAACGUUAAUCGGGGCAGGGUGAGUCGACCCCUAAGGCGAGGCCGAAAGGCGUAGUCGAUGGGAAACAGGUUAAUAUUCCUGUACUUGGUGUUACUGCGAAGGGGGGACGGAGAAGGCUAUGUUGGCCGGGCGACGGUUGUCCCGGUUUAAGCGUGUAGGCUGGUUUUCCAGGCAAAUCCGGAAAAUCAAGGCUGAGGCGUGAUGACGAGGCACUACGGUGCUGAAGCGACAAAUGCCCUGCUUCCAGGAAAAGCCUCUAAGCAUCAGGUAACAUCAAAUCGUACCCCAAACCGACACAGGUGGUCAGGUAGAGAAUACCAAGGCGCUUGAGAGAACUCGGGUGAAGGAACUAGGCAAAAUGGUGCCGUAACUUCGGGAGAAGGCACGCUGAUAUGUAGGUGAAGCGACUUGCUCGUGGAGCUGAAAUCAGUCGAAGAUACCAGCUGGCUGCAACUGUUUAUUAAAAACACAGCACUGUGCAAACACGAAAGUGGACGUAUACGGUGUGACGCCUGCCCGGUGCCGGAAGGUUAAUUGAUGGGGUUAGCGGUAACGCGAAGCUCUUGAUCGAAGCCCCGGUAAACGGCGGCCGUAACUAUAACGGUCCUAAGGUAGCGAAAUUCCUUGUCGGGUAAGUUCCGACCUGCACGAAUGGCGUAAUGAUGGCCAGGCUGUCUCCACCCGAGACUCAGUGAAAUUGAACUCGCUGUGAAGAUGCAGUGUACCCGCGGCAAGACGGAAAGACCCCGUGAACCUUUACUAUAGCUUGACACUGAACAUUGAGCCUUGAUGUGUAGGAUAGGUGGGAGGCUUUGAAGUGUGGACGCCAGUCUGCAUGGAGCCGACCUUGAAAUACCACCCUUUAAUGUUUGAUGUUCUAACGUGGGCCCCUUACCGGGGUUGCGGACAGUGUCUGGUGGGUAGUUUGACUGGGGCGGUCUCCUCCUAAAGAGUAACGGAGGAGCACGAAGGUUGGCUAAUCCUGGUCGGACAUCAGGAGGUUAGUGCAAUGGCAUAAGCCAGCUUGACUGCGAGCGUGACGGCGCGAGCAGGUGCGAAAGCAGGUCAUAGUGAUCCGGUGGUUCUGAAUGGAAGGGCCAUCGCUCAACGGAUAAAAGGUACUCCGGGGAUAACAGGCUGAUACCGCCCAAGAGUUCAUAUCGACGGCGGUGUUUGGCACCUCGAUGUCGGCUCAUCACAUCCUGGGGCUGAAGUAGGUCCCAAGGGUAUGGCUGUUCGCCAUUUAAAGUGGUACGCGAGCUGGGUUUAGAACGUCGUGAGACAGUUCGGUCCCUAUCUGCCGUGGGCGCUGGAGAACUGAGGGGGGCUGCUCCUAGUACGAGAGGACCGGAGUGGACGCAUCACUGGUGUUCGGGUUGUCAUGCCAAUGGCACUGCCCGGUAGCUAAAUGCGGAAGAGAUAAGUGCUGAAAGCAUCUAAGCACGAAACUUGCCCCGAGAUGAGUUCUCCCUGACUCCUUGAGAGUCCUGAAGGAACGUUGAAGACGACGACGUUGAUAGGCCGGGUGUGUAAGCGCAGCGAUGCGUUGAGCUAACCGGUACUAAUGAACCGUGAGGCUUAACCUU
rnacentral:rRNA from 1 species